rnacentral:lncRNA from 1 species
UGAGAUUUUUUUUAAACCUGAUGUCACAUCCAGGACAAACAAGAGAAGUCCUUUUAACCAAAUAGGACUCCUAUAUAACAAGAGUCUUUGAGAAGAGAGUCGUAUGACCUAAGAUGUCCCCUCCAACUACUUUGAUAUAAUGGCACAUGGAAGUGUGUCAUAAAGUGGGAGAAAAAGUGCAAGAAUUCCUCAAGACCCAUAUGUAAGGUUUUCUAUAAUUCACUUUGUAUGCUACAAUUGUUUGCCCUGCAUAGUGCCAGGAAGAUAUAAAAAUGUGAAAUGAACAAAUAUUGUUUAAGAGUUUAAAGAUACUUUGGAUGUCAUGACUCCAAUAAUAUUACCUUACAGAUCAACACCUGUGUUAGUCCAUUCUCAUGCUGCUAUGAAGAAAUACCUGAGACUGGGUCCAACACCAUAUGGAAGCUGCCAAGGCUUGAAGCAAUGGCCUAAGCUGGAUCUCGACCCCUUUUAGCCACAGCUGAAACUGGAAUGGCUGGGAUGCAGGACACCAAGUCCCAAGGCUGCACAGAGCAACAGGUCCCUGGGCCAGGCCCAGCAUUAGGCCUAUCAAGUGUCAUGCACAGCUCAAGAGGAAAUGCUAUCUGGAAAUCCCCCAACUCCCAUGGAAAUUCCCAGCUGGCUCCCUGUACACUGCAGAUACCUGAAGUGGUUUUGAAGACUGGGCAGCUAAGACCUAAGUGAAGAAGAAUUCCUCCCCUGCAAGGAUGACCAAGAACCCAGCCGCUCUGUUUCCUUCCCGACUGGAGUCCUCUUCUCCACUGGGACCAGCUGUAUCCACCUGACCUCCAAGAGCACUCUCCAUGCCACGCACAGGGCACUGAGUGAACACCCACCUCAUUUCUCCCAGCAUGGAAAGUCAUUCCAGGAAUUCUGUGGGCAGUGGAGAGGCCCUUCCCCUUCCAGCAUGGGAAAGCCAGGCUGGUUGGGAAGCAGCUCAACUCAAGCUGCUGCUGAUACAGAUCUUCAGGCUCGUGUGGAAAAACCGAUAAAAUAGAAAAAGCAAUCGGAAGAAUAUAAAAAUCACUGAUAAUCCCGCCACCUAGAGAAAACUACUGUUAGUAUUUUGAGUGUAUUUCCCUCCAGCUUUUUUCUAUAUAUGUGUAUGUAUUUAUAAUAUAUAAAUAAUAUACUAUAUA